rnacentral:rRNA from 1 species
CCUGGUUGAUCCUGCCAGUAGCGUAUGCUUGUGUCAAAGCUUAAGCCAUGCCUGUCUAAGUACACACGGGUGGUACAGUGAAACUGCGAAUGGCUCAUUAAAUCAGUUAUGGUUCCUUUGGUUACUCCUCUCCCGCUCCUUGGAUAACUGUGGUAAUUCUAGAGCUAAUACAUGCCGACAAGCGCCGACCUCUGGGGACGCGUGCAUUUAUCAGACCAAAACCAACCCGGGCCCGCCCGGCAGCUUUGGUGACUCUAGAUAACCUCGAGCCGAUCGCACGCCCCCGCGGCGGCGACGACCCAUUCGAAUGUCUGCCCUAUCAACUUUCAAUGGGACUGUCUGUGCCUACCAUGGUGACCACGGGUGAUGGGGAAUCAGGGUUCGAUUCCGGAGAGGGAGCCUGAGAAACGGCUACCACAUCCAAGGAAGGCAGCAGGCGCGCAAAUGACCCACUCCCGACCCGGGAAGGUAGUGAUGAAAAAUAACAAUACAGGACUCUUUUGAGGCCCUGUAAUUGGAAUGAGCACACUUUAAAUCCUUGAGCGAGGAUCCAUUGGAGGACAAGUCUGUUGGCAGCAGCCACGGUAAUUCCAGCUCCAAUAGCGCAUCUUAAAGUUGCUGCAGUUAAAAAGCUCGUAGUUGGAUCUUGGGAUCGAGCUGGCAGUCCGCCGCGAGGCGAGCCACCACCUGUCCCAGCCCCUGCCUCUCGGCGCCCCCUCGAUGCUCUUAGCUGAGUGUCCCGCGGGGCCCAAAGCGUUUGAGAAAAUUAGAGUGUUCAAAGCAGGCCAGCCGCCGGCAUACUGCAGCUAGGAAUAAUGGAAUAGGACUCCGGUUCUAUUUUGUUGGUUUUCGGAAACGGGGCCAUGAUUAAGAGGGACGGCCGGGGGCAUUCGUAUUCAUAGAAUCAUAGAAUCAUAGAAUGGUUAGGGUUGGAAGGGACCUUCAAAGGUCAUCUAGUCCAACCCCCCUGCAAGGAACAGGGACAUCCACAACUAGAUCAGGUUGCUCAGAGCCUCAUCCAGCCUGGCCUUGAAUGUUUCCAGGGAUGGGGCCUCCACCACCUUUCUGGGCAACCCGUUCCAGUGUUCUAUAACUCGCAUCGUAAAAAAAUUUUUCCUAAUUUCUAAUCUAAAUCUACCCCCCUCUAUUUUAAAACCAUUACCCCUCGUCCUAUUGCAACAGGCCUUACUAAACAGCCUUUCCCCAUCUUUCUUGUAGGCCCCCUUGAGGUACUGGAAGACCGCUAUCAGGUCUCCCCGGAGCCUCCUCUUCU